rnacentral:tRNA from 2 species
AUCUUUCUAGUAUAGAUGUUAGUACGAGUGACUUCCAAUCAUUUGGCCUUGGUUAAACCCCAAGGAAAGAUA